rnacentral:rRNA from 1 species
AACGAACGCUGGCGGCAUGCCUAACACAUGCAAGUCGAACGAGACCUUCGGGUCUAGUGGCGCACGGGUGCGUAACGCGUGGGAACCUGCCCUUAGGUUCGGAAUAACUCCCCGAAAGGGGUGCUAAUACCGGAUAAUGUCUUCGGACCAAAGAUUUAUCGCCUUUGGAUGGGCCCGCGUUGGAUUAGCUAGUUGGUAGGGUAAAAGCCUACCAAGGCGACGAUCCAUAGCUGGUCUGAGAGGAUGAUCAGCCACACUGGGACUGAGACACGGCCCAGACUCUUACGGGAGGAAGCAGUGGGGAAUAUGGGACAAUGGGCGAAGGGCUGAACCAGCAAUGCCGCGUGAGUGAUGAAGGCCUUAGGGUUGUAAAGCUCUUUUACACGGGAUGAUAAUGACGGUACCGGGAGAAUAAGCACCGGCUAACUCCGUG